rnacentral:rRNA from 1 species
CCUACGGGUGGCUGCAGUGGGGAAUAUUGGACAAUGGGCGCAAGCCUGAUCCAGCAAUGCCGCGUGUGUGAAGAAGGCCUGCGGGUUGUAAAGCACUUUCAGUGGGGAGGAAGGCCUCGAUAUUAAUACUAUUGAGGAUUGACGUUACCCACAGAAGAAGCACCGGCUAACUCUGUGCCAGCAGCCGCGGUAAUACAGAGGGUGCAAGCGUUAAUCGGAAGUUCCGGGGGUAAAGUCUGAAGUCAGGGGUGAAAGCCCCGGGCUCAACCUGGGAAUUGCAUUUGAUACUGAGUAACUUGAGUAGGGUAGAGGGAAGUGGAAUUUCCAGUGUAGCGGUGAAAUGCGUAGAUAUUGGAAGGAACAGCAGUGGCGAAGGCGACUUCCUGGACCAUUACUGACACUGAGGCACGAAAGCGUGGGGAGCGAACAGGAUUAGAUACCCCAGUAGUC